GGAUUAGAUACCCUGGUAGUCCACGCCGUAAACGAUGAGUACUCGCUGUCAGCCCCGCUACAGGGGUUGGUGGCCAAGCUAACGCAUUAAGUACUCCGCCUGGGGACUACGGCCGCAAGGUUAAAACUCAAAGGAAUUGACGGGGACCCGCACAAGUGGUGGAGCAUGUUGUUUAAUUCGAAAAUACGCGAAGAACCUUACCUAGCCUUGACAUCCUGAUCGUACUUUCUAGAGAUAGAUUGGUCGGUUCGGCCGGAUCAGUGACAGGUGUUGCAUGGCCGUCGUCAGCUCGUGCCG
rnacentral:rRNA from 1 species